CCUACGGGAGGCAGCAGUAAGGAGUAUUGGUCAAUGGGCGGAAGCCUGAACCGGCCAUGCCGCGUGCAGGAUGACUGCCCCAUGGGUCGUAAACUGCUUUUGUCCGGGAAUAAACCUCCUUACGAGUAGGGAGCUGAAUGUACCGGAAGAAUAAGGAUCGGCUGACUCCGUGCCAGCAGCCGCGGUAACGCGGAGGAUCCGAGCGUUAUCCGGAUUUAUUGGGUUUAAAGGGUGCGUAGGCGGCCCGUUAAGUCAGGGGUGAAAUACGGUGGCUCAACCGUCGCAGUGUCUUUGAUACUGACGGGCUUGAAUUCAUAUGAAGUGGGCGGAAUAAGACAAGUAGCGGUGAAAUGCAUAGAUAUGUCUUAGAACUCCGAUUGCGAAGGCAGCUCACUAAGCUGGUAUUGACGCUGAUGCACGAAAGCGUGGGGAUCGAACAGGAUUAGAUACCCUGGUAGUCCACGCCCUAAACGAUGAUAACUCGGUGUUGGCGAUAGACAGCCAGCGUCCUAGCGAAAGCGUUAAGUUAUCCACCUGGGGAGUACGCCCGCAAGGGUGAAACUUAAAGGAAUUGACGG
rnacentral:rRNA from 1 species